AUGACCAUUUUCAUGGUGAUCUUGGACGAGCCGGGGGGACCCCCCUGCCUGUCCUUCCUCUGCCUCGACCCCCUGAACGGCUACCUCGUGGGACACGGCCUCCCCCUUGCUGCUCUGAUCCUCCUCCCCCACAACCACGUUAUCCAACUCAUCAUCCUGAAGAUCCAGGUGUUGCAGCAUCUCCUCCAGAUUCUUCCCCAUACAUCCCGUAGUAGACGAACCCGCCUGAGCCGCCAUCUAGGGUUUGCCCCUUCGACUGCGUGCCAACUACUGAUGAGCCGUGCGAUCCUCUCUGAGAACACACCACAGGCCAGGCAAAUACCAGCAAGAAAAAUCCAAGGUGGGGAAGUUGUUGGAUGCGGCGGUUGUGCCUGGUGUCGUACGACCGGAAAAUGGGCGGCGGCGGCUAGGGCAGCGAGGAGUGGGAAACGAACAGUCGGCCAUGCUUCUUCCUCCCAGCAGCAUACCACCACCUCCUCCUCCGGUACUCCGCUCACCGCGCGCGCCUCCAUCUUUACGCACGGUAUCCUCCUCUCCUCCUCGCCUUCCUCGAUCUGCAAUGGUGUUAGUCUCAGCGCCUUCUACUCCAGUGCCCACAACCUGUUUGUCGAAUUGCUUGCUAUAGUCCGGCUGGCCAACACAACACUAGUUUUGUGGCCGCAAGCCCGCAAGCGCUUCUGGAUGCCGCUAUGGUCUGAACUGGGCAUGACCAUGAACUCUUGGGAGCCGGCCAGCUCUGUUCUAGCACUGGAAUCAACUGCAGCCGAAGACGUGUCUUGCUUUCACUUCCCUGGACACAACCAAGGGAAAGCUGUUCCAUCUUCAUUGUCGAACCUAAUUGGCACGGGGGCGUUUUUGCAUGACUUGCCCGAGCUACCUGAGCUGGAUGACCUCUUCUACCCUAAGGGUGUGAUUUUGGAUGCUCAGAACCGGGCAGCUCAACUGUUUGGAUCAUCUAAGAUGUGGUUCCUAGUCAACAGGCGUACCUGUGGAAUCCAGGCCGCUGUGAUGGGCACCUGCUGCCCCGGUGACUACAUCGUUGUGCCUCGAAACUGUCACAUUUCAGUGAUCUCUGCCCUGAUUCUGUCAGCGAUGUGCAAGGUAUCGUCGAUGUUUGCCAUCCCUUACAUUUCGGUUAUAGUUGACUUGACGAGGCUCAUGAUGCGCACUUCAGGUUCCAUGACAGUUUUCCAAGCACGGCGAUUGAGCAAGUCCUCGAUGCUUCACAUGGCUGGAGGUCUGGUUGAUGCAGAUAAAGUGAGCCACUGCAUUCAGUUGCUCCAAAGCUCAAGCCCGAGUUACCUCCUACUGUCGUCUUUAGAUGCUGCAAGAGCUCAGUUGAGUGAGAAUGGAAAAUAUUUUGAUGACUCGGUGGCGAUGGCUUUAGAAACAAAAGAUCAACUGAUGCGUAUCACACUAAGUGCUUCAGAUCUACAUUUAUCUGGAUACGAAGCAGACGACAUUUUGGAAGAGCCUCAAAUUGUAUCUGAGCUUGUUGGAACACAGGCGGGGACAAUUGCAGUUAACUUAGGGACCAGAAGGCAAGAUGUUCAAAAGCUUGUACACCCACUUGUAAGCCCAGCCAUUGCCUGCUUUGCUGCCACACGAACAGAGCCGGUCUGGACAAACCAGACGCCCCCGACCAGGACGAACCCUAGGAUUGGCCCUCCUCUGCCCGCCGCCGCCCGAGGAAUCUCCGGCCACCGGAAUCCCUUCUCUCCUCCGUCCGGCGGAUCGGCUCCACCGUCCUUCCCAAAUCCUUGCCUCCGAGCUUCCCCUUUCUCCUCCGCGCCUUACGUCGCCCCCGACAACCGAGUUAUGCUGCUGAUCUAUGGAGUAAAUGGGUAUCUCGGAAAACAAGGGGAGUUUCUCGCCUGGGGCGUCAGCGAAUCCUGGGUCCGCCAUUGCGCAAUGCUCACACCGGAGCGCCGCUACAAGAUCUGGCAUGAGAUCCGGGCAAGACAAGUCGCGUGCGCCGCCCGCAUCACUGUCGGGCUGCCUCCGGACUCGCCGGAGCCGGACGAGGAGGAGCAGCCGGGGAAGAGGAGGAGUAGCUGGCUUCGAUGGAGGUGGAGGAGGCGGAGCAGCUAG
rnacentral:rRNA from 1 species